rnacentral:rRNA from 1 species
UCCACGCCGUAAACGAUGGAUACUCGUUCUUGGCAAUACACAGUCAGGGACUGAGCGAAAGCAUUAAGUAUCCCACCUGGGGAGUACGUUCGCAAGAAUGAAACUCAAAGGAAUUGACGGGGGCCCGCACAAGCGGAGGAACAUGUGGUUUAAUUCGAUAAUACGCGAGGAACCUUACCAGGGCUUAAAUGUAGAUUGCAUAGAGUAGAGAUAUUCUUUUCUUCGGACUAUUU